ACGAGGCACUACGGUGCUGAAGUAACAAAUGCCCUGCUUCCAGGAAAAGCCUCUAAGCAUCAGGUAACAACGAAUCGUACCCCAAACCGACACAGGUGGUCAGGUAGAGAAUACCAAGGCGCUUGAGAGAACUCGGGUGAAGGAACUAGGCAAAAUGGUGCCGUAACUUCGGGAGAAGGCACGCUGAUGGUAGGUGAAGUGACUUGCUCAUGGAGCUGAAAUCAGUCGAAGAUACCAGCUGGCUGCAACUGUUUAUUAAAAACACAGCACUGUGCAAACACGAAAGUGGACGUAUACGGUGUGACGCCUGCCCGGUGCCGGAAGGUUAAUUGAUGGGGUUAUCCGUAAGGAGAAGCUCUUGAUCGAAGCCCCGGUAAACGGCGGCCGUAACUAUAACGGUCCUAAGGUAGCGAAAUUCCUUGUCGGGUAAGUUCCGACCUGCACGAAUGGCGUAAUGAUGGCCAGGCUGUCUCCACCCGAGACUCAGUGAAAUUGAACUCGCUGUGAAGAUGCAGUGUACCCGCGGCAAGACGGAAAGACCCCGUGAACCUUUACUAUAGCUUGACACUGAACAUUGAGCCUUGAUGUGUAGGAUAGGUGGGAGGCUUUGAAGUGUGGACGCCAGUCUGCAUGGAGCCAACCUUGAAAUACCACCCUUUAAUGUUUGAUGUUCUAACGUAGACCCGUGAUCCGGGUUGCGGACAGUGUCUGGUGGGUAGUUUGACUGGGGCGGUCUCCUCCCAAAGAGUAACGGAGGAGCACGAAGGUUAGCUAAUCCUGGUCGGACAUCAGGAGGUUAGUGCAAUGGCAUAAGCUAGCUUGACUGCGAGCGUGACGGCGCGAGCAGGUGCGAAAGCAGGUCAUAGUGAUCCGGUGGUUCUGAAUGGAAGGGCCAUCGCUCAACGGAUAAAAGGUACUCCGGGGAUAACAGGCUGAUACCGCCCAAGAGUUCAUAUCGACGGCGGUGUUUGGCACCUCGAUGUCGGCUCAUCACAUCCUGGGGCUGAAGUAGGUCCCAAGGGUAUGGCUGUUCGCCAUUUAAAGUGGUACGCGAGCUGGGUUUAGAACGUCGUGAGACAGUUCGGUCCCUAUCUGCCGUGGGCGCUGGAGAAUUGAGGGGGGCUGCUCCUAGUACGAGAGGACCGGAGUGGACGCAUCACUGGUGUUCGGGUUGUCAUGCCAAUGGCAUUGCCCGGUAGCUAAAUGCGGAAAAGAUAAGUGCUGAAAGCAUCUAAGCACGAAACUUGCCCCGAGAUGAGUUCUCCCUGACCCUUUAAGGGUCCUGAAGGAACGUUGAAGACGACGACGUUGAUAGGUCGGGUGUGUAAGCGUAGCGAUACGUUGAGCUAACCGAUACUAAUGAACCGUGAGGCUUAACCUU
rnacentral:rRNA from 1 species